UGAGGGGUUUUUGUUUUAGCUUGAGUUUCUGAAUGUAUAUCAAUUCAGCUACCCGUUUAUUUAA
rnacentral:sRNA from 1 species